AUGGGUGUUAAAAUAGUGCCACAACACUUUAACUGGAUCUGGAAUAGUUCUUGUCAACCCAGGCACAAGGUGUUCUUUUGGAGAUUAAUUCAUGACAGACUCAAUACCAGGAACCUCCUUAUAAGGAAAACUUUUCACUUGGACAAUUAUAAUUGUGCUGUAAACAAUUGCCAGCAGGAAGAAACACUUCAGCACCUCUUUUGGACAUGUCCUUUUGCUGCACAGUGUUGGGAUAUGAUCUGUCCCUCUAGGCAGAGAAAUGCAUCAGUUCUCGAGGCUUUUGCUGAUCUAAAACUGAAACUUCAUCUACCUUUCUUCAUGGAAAUCAUCAUCCUGGCUUCAUGGGCCAUCUGGAUCACCAGGAACAAUCUCAUUUUUCAGGACAUUCGGCCAAGCAUUCAAGGAUGGAAAGGAAUCUUCUUGGAAGAACUAAAUCUGCUAAGAUUCAGAAUUAAGAAGAGCUAUGCUAGAGCUUUCUGUCUCUGGCUUGACAACCUUGUCCUGUAA
rnacentral:rRNA from 1 species